GCUACGGGAGGCAGCAGUGAGGAAUAUUGGUCAAUGGACGAGAGUCUGAACCAGCCAAGUAGCGUGAAGUAUUACUGCCCUAUUGGUUGUAAACUUCUUUUAUAAAGGAAUAAAACGAGGCACGUGUGCCUUUUUGCAUGUACUUUAUGAAUAAGGAUCGGCUAACUCCGUGCCAGCAGCCGCGGUAAUACGGAGGAUCCGAGCGUUAUCCGGAUUUAUUGUGUUUAAAGGGAGCGUAGAUGGGUUGUUAAGUCAGUUGUGAAAGUUUGCGGCUCAACCGUAAAAGUGCAAUUGAUACUGGCAGUCUUGAGUACAGUUGAGGUAGGCGGAAUUCGUGGUGUAGCGGUGAAAUGCUUAGAUAUCACGAAGAACCCCGAUUGCGAAGGCAGCUUACUAAACUGUGACUGACAUUGAUGCUCGAAAGUGUGGGUAUCAAACAGGAUUAGAUACCCCUGUAGUC
rnacentral:rRNA from 1 species